AUUGAACGCUGGCGGCAGGCCUAACACAUGCAAGUCGAGCGGAUGAAGGGAGCUUGCUCCUGGAUUCAGCGGCGGACGGGUGAGUAAUGCCUAGGAAUCUGCCUGGUAGUGGGGGAUAACGUCCGGAAACGGGCGCUAAUACCGCAUACGUCCUGAGGGAGAAAGUGGGGGAUCUUCGGACCUCACGCUAUCAGAUGAGCCUAGGUCGGAUUAGCUAGUUGGUGGGGUAAAGGCCUACCAAGGCGACGAUCCGUAACUGGUCUGAGAGGAUGAUCAGUCACACUGGAACUGAGACACGGUCCAGACUCCUACGGGAGGCAGCAGUGGGGAAUAUUGGACAAUGGGCGAAAGCGUGAUCCAGCCAUGCCGCGUGUGUGAAGAAGGUCUUCGGAUUGUAAAGCACUUUAAGUUGGGAGGAAGGGCAGUAAGUUAAUACCUUGCUGUUUUGACGUUACCAACAGAAUAAGCACCGGCUAACUUCGUG
rnacentral:rRNA from 1 species